ensembl:lncRNA
AUGAACAGGAACAGGAAGACUUCAUUUUUGAGAGUGGACGCCAUGUUGUCUCAUUCUGUUUAAGACUUUUACUAAAACAGAUCUUGCAGGUGCUCAACAGGAAAUCAUGUGUCUGAUUUUCAGUCGAGCUGAAAGCCAUGAAACUCAUUCUGCGGUGGAUUUUUUGCUUCAGUUUAGGUUUUGUCACUGAUUGCCAAGUGAAUCGUUAUGGAUUGAAAGGAAGCUCAAUCCGUCUGAGCAUCAGUCCCAGAAAUCAGUCACUAACUAAUGUUGGAUGGCAACGAUUCAACAGGAAAGAGGUGCUCACAGACUCAAAUGACGUUUCCCCUCAUUUUGAGAAAAGAAUGAGCCUAAACGUCUCAGACAUGUCUUUGACCAUACACGACCUGGAGGAAAAUGACAGUGGACUGUAUGAAGCCCUUAAGAAGUGGGAGGUUGAACCUCUGGCUGCAUUCACACUUACAGUGGAGAACACUGUCUCUAAGCCUGUAAUCAGAGUGGAUCAACAUGACUUUAAUUCGUCUGCUGAAGUGUGUCGGGCUGCAGUGAACUGUUCAGCUGAUGGCAGCUGGGCCACGUUUGACUGCCACCAAAAUGUCUGUACAAAGAUACAAUCCUCUCCAUUCUCCAUUAACAUCACUGUCACUGCACUGGACAGCAGCGGCAUCAAAUGCAACGUCAACAACAACGUGCUCAACAGGAAAUCUGGUGUCUUAUUUUCAGUCGAGCUGAAAGCCAUGAAACUCAUUCUGCGGUGGAUUUUUUGCUUCAGUUUAGGUUUUGUCACUGAUUGCCAAGUGAAUCGUUAUGGAUUGAAAGGAAGCUCAAUCCGUCUGAGCAUCAGUCCCAGAAAUCAGUCACUAACUAAUGUUGGAUGGCAACGAUUCAACAGGAAAGAGGUGCUUACAGACGCAAAAGAAGUUUCCCCUCAUUUUAAGAAAAGAAUGAUCCUAAACGUCUCAGACUGGUCUUUGACCAUACACAACCUUGAGGAAAAUGACAGUGGACUGUAUGAAGCCAUUAAGAAGUGGGAGGUUGAACCUCUGGCUGCAUUCACACUUACAGUGGAGAGCACUGUCUCUAAGCCUGUAAUCAGAGUGGAUCAACAUGACUUUAAUUCGUCUGCUGAAGUGUGUCGGGCCGCAGUGAACUGUUCAGCUGAUGGCAGCUGGGCCACGUUUGACUGCCACCAAAAUGUCUGUACAAAGAUACGAUCCUCUCCAUUCUCCAUUAACAUCACUGUCACUGCACUGGACAGCAGUGGCAUCAAAUGCAACGUCAACAACAACGUGAGCAUGAAUCAUUCUCAGACUCCCUUUACGUGCCAUGAAAAGCAGAAAAGUGAUUAUCGUUUUCUCCCAUCGCUCAUCUUCUGGAUCGUUGGCACCGUUUGUGGUGGUGUUUUGUUGGGUUUGGUUAUGGGUGGGAUUGUAGCAUUUGUCAAGAGAAGAAAAUGUUCAAAAGUUCAUCCACAGUCCAGUCGUGUUGUGAUUGAACAGCAUCAUGAAACAAUUUACUGCACCGUGGAAAAGCCGGCCACAUCCCAGACACAUCCAGGAAACAACACUGUCAGCAACAAAGUAGAAACCAUCUACGACACUCCAUCACGACAUACCAAGGCUUGUCAAGUAGACAGUGUGGAGGUGAUGAGAGACAAUCAGGAGCAACAGCAAUCUGGACAAGACAGAACUAUUCAAGUAAAAGCUACAGUUCACCAGGCAGCAGAACCCGAUUCAGAUCCAAUAAACACUGUUUACUGUAAACUGGGAGAGAUAUGACACAAACACAUACUGAGACGUCACUUCAGUGGAGAUUUAAAUGUAAUUUAAUAUAAAUUCUGUGUUUUUUUUUUUUACUAGUGAAUAGAUGGGUUUAAGCAUCAUUGAUGGAGACAAUACACACUGUAUGCUGCCUACUAUUUUUUGAAACAGUAUAUGCAAUACAUUCUUAAAAAUAAAUGUUCAAAAAUUGUUUUUUGUAGUGAUGCAAUAGAA